UACGAAGGGAGCUAGCGUUGUUCGGAAUUACUGGGCGUAAAGGGCGCGUAGGCGGCCGAUUAAGUCAGAUGUGAAAGCCCCGGGCUCAACCUGGGAAUUGCAUAUGAUACUGAUUGGCUAGAGGACGAGAGAGGAAAACGGAAUUGUGAGUGUAGAGGUGAAAUUCGUAGAUAUUCACAAGAACACCAGUGGCGAAGGCGGUUUUCUGGCUCGUAUCUGACGCUAAGGCGCGAAAGCGUGGGGAGCAAACAGG
rnacentral:rRNA from 1 species